CCUACGGGAGGCAGCAGUGAGGAAUAUUGGUCAAUGGGCGAGAGCCUGCACCAGCCAAGUCGCGUGAGGGAGUACUGCCCUAUGGGUUGUAAACCUCUUUUGUCGGGGAGCAAAAGCCGGACGUGUCCGGCUGUGAGAGUACCCUAAGAACAAGCAUCGUCUAACUCCGUGCCAGCAGCCGCGGUAAUACGGAGGAUGCGAGCGUUAUCCGGAGUUAGUGGGUUUAAAGGGGGCGCAGGCGGAUUUUUAAGUCAGCGGUCAAAUCGUGGGGCUAAACCCCAUCCAGCCGUGGAAACUGGGGAUCUAGAGUGUGCGAGAGGUAUGCGGAAUGCGUGGUGUAGCGGUGAAAUGCAUAGAUAUCACGCAGAACCCCGAUUGCGAAGGCAGUAUACCGGUGCACAACUGACGCUCAGGCACGAAAGCGUGGGUAUCGAACAGGAUUAGAUACCCUGGUAGUC
rnacentral:rRNA from 1 species